AGCUCCACGAGCAUGUACGUAAGUUGUUGCAGUUAAAAAGCUCGUAGUUGGAUCUCAGGCUUGUGGCCAGUGGUCCGCCCGAUACGGGUGUGCACUGCUGUGCCCGGUCUACGUCUGGUCUAUGUCCGUAGUGCUCUUAACCGGGUGUUGCGGAAUGCCAGAAGGUUUACUCUGAAAAAAUUAGAGUGCUCAAAGCAAGCUCUUUAAGCUUGAAUACUGUUGCAUGGAAUAAUGGAAUAGGACCUCGGAUCUAUUUUGUUGGUUUUCGGAGUCGAGGUAAUGAUUAAGAGGGACAGACGGGGGCAUUCGUAUUGCGCCGUUAGAGGUGAAAUUCUUGGAUCGGCGCAAGACGAACAACUGCGAAAGCAUUUGCCAAGGAUGUUUUCAUUAAUCAAGAACG
rnacentral:rRNA from 1 species